rnacentral:rRNA from 1 species
ACUCCUACGGGAGGCAGCAGUGGGGAAUAUUGCACAAUGGGGGAAACCCUGAUGCAGCCAUGCCGCGUGUGUGAAGAAGGCCUUCGGGUUGUAAAGCACUUUCAGUAGGGAGGAAGGUAGUGCAGUUAACACCUGCAUUAUUUGUACGUUACCUACAGAAGAAGCACCGGCUAACUCCGUGCCAGCAGCCGCGGUAAGUACGGAGGGUGCGAGCGUUAAUCGGAAUUACUGGGCGUAAAGCGCAUGCAGGCGGCCUGUUAAGUCAGAUGUGAAAGCCCGGGGCUUAACCUCGGAAUUGCAUUUGAAACUGGCAGGCUAGAGUCUUGUAGAGGGGUUAGAAUUUCAGGUGUAGCGGUGAAAUGCGUAGAGAUCUGAAGGAAUACCGAGUGGCGAAGGCGGCCCCUGGAC